ACUCAAAUGAAUUGACGGGAGCUUGCACAAGCGGUGGAGCGUGUGGCUCAAUUCGUCGCUAAACGAAGAACCUUACCAGGACUAGAAAUCCUACUGCACGCCCGGUGAAAGCCGGGAAGCCUUCGAGGGUGUAGGACAGGUGAUGCAUGGCUGUCGUCAGUUCGUGGUUUGAAUCGUUCCCUUCAGUGGGGUAACGAACGCAACCUUCGUUGCCUGUUACAAGUGUCAGGCGAGACUGCCCCCUCACGGGGGAGGAAGGUGGAGAUGACGCCAAGUCAGCAUGUCCCUCUGAUGUCCUGGGCUGCACACGCGCUACAAUCGCCAUUACAAUGGGGCGCAAUGGGGUAACCCGGAGCAAAUCCCAAAAAGUGGCGCCAGUUCGGAUUGAGGUCUGCAACCCGACCUCAUGAAGCCGGAAUCGCUAGUAAUCGCGGGUCAGCUAUACCGCGGUGAAUACGUUCUCAAGCUUUGUACACACCGCCCGU
rnacentral:rRNA from 1 species